rnacentral:lncRNA from 1 species
AUUUUAUGUGGUGUCUUAUUAUUUUGGUCUGUUAUGUAACUUGCAUGCUGUCCUCUUUGUUAACAUUUGACUUUUUUUCCAUCUCCCACCUCACAUCAUGAUAAAUGGAAGGGGAUUAAUAAAAUAAAUGCGCUGUGAGUUGAAAAUGCAUUCUGCCGACUUUUGUAUGACUGAUGAUCUAAGAAUCCCUUAAUUCACAUCCAAGCAAACUAUUUCCAGAAACAUGGGGACAUCAGGGGAAAAACAGCUCUCCAUAAAGCAAAAAUAAAACAAAAACGUUGAUAGUCAGCCCUCCACACUUGCAGGUUUGACUUUUGUUGAUUUGAUUGUUUGCAGAUUUGUUUAAAAUGUUCCCUCUAGGAAUCUUUAGGUCCUCCAUGGAUUCAUGCUAGUAGAUCUAGAGAUUCCUAGAAAGAGUUCUAUGAAUCUCUAGGUUCUCCAACAGGAUUCUUUAGUCAGUUUCUGGUGGAAGUUAGCCAUAGUCAUGCUGAAGCACCUGGUGAAUUUGUCCAUUGCAGACAGAAAAGAAAUCUAAGUCUGCAACAAUCCAAAAAGUGGGUUCUGAUGUUAUAAGACUUAGAAUAAUAGAAUCAUAGACUUACACCACUCUAACUCACUAUUAGAAGGCAUGUUGUUUAUAUUUAUUUCUUACUACAGUCAACAAGUUGCAGAUUGAGCUCACGAGGGGCCGGCUUCUGUUUUGUUUACUGCUGAUUGUUGACUUUGAAGUGGAAGUAUCCUGUUCUAUUCUUCAGUAUCCUGUUCACCAGCAACACAGAACUCCAUCCCUUGAUGCAGCCAGAUGGAUUUUAAGGUUCCCUUUAGUGACAUCCAAAAGGAAGAGGAUGCCAGAUGCAAAGAAAGAAACAUGAAAUGGCUCAAGUAGUCUUCUGAUACCCAAAAUUGUGACAAUGAAACAUCCAUAUUGAAACUGCUGAGACGUACCAUAACAUGAUGCACGGUGUCUGAUGAAACUUGUGGAGCAUAACAAUAAAGCUGUGUGUCAUCAACGUAAAAGUCAUAACACUAAAUAAGAUUACCUAGCAACAAUGGAUAUAAAAUGAAAGCAACAAAGGACCCAGAGAAGAACCAUAUGUAGACUCUACCAAAAGAGAAAAAUUGCAUGAGACAGAACCAUAAGCCAGAACAUUAAAAUAAUGGACUGAGAGAUAGAAAGUAAGUAUUUAAUACUUGUGGGAGUGGAGUUAAAAGAAAAAUAUGAAGUCACUCUUCUGUCUAAUUGUUUUGGUAGAAACAAGCCUGUGUAGACUUAUAAAGUUGGGCCAUCCAGCCCGGCCCCCGGCCAUGCAGGAACAACAAAGUACC